CUGAACAUAAAAAUUAACUAAGUUUAUAGUGCUGGAACUGAUGUGUGUGCGAUAACAGUACAUUAUAUUUGAAAGAGUCAGGAACAGUCACAUAUAUGCUCUCCCAUGCUCCACCUGAAGUGGCUCCUGUAUCAAGCUGUAGUAUCUGAAAUUUGGGAGGAAAGAAUAAAAGACAGAAAAAUGAAGAAGAGGAA
rnacentral:lncRNA from 1 species